rnacentral:tRNA from 1 species
GAGGGCUUAGCUUAAUUAAAGUACUUGAGUUGCAUUCAGGUGAUGUGAGAUGAGGUCUUGCAGUCCUUA